rnacentral:lncRNA from 1 species
AAAAAAGACACGUGAGCUGAUUUAGGGCGGUGAUUCCCUAAUCUCCAUGCACAUUAGAAUUCCCUGGGGAAGCUGUUCAAAAAUGCUGAUGCCCAGGCCGCAUACCCAGGGGCUCUGAUGCACUAAGAUUUGUCCACACAAAUCUGGCCCAACAGGAUGCAGAUAAUCUGGCCCAACAGGAAUUCAGUAAUAAGGAUUUUUCCCCAAAAAAUAUGCACUGUAU